rnacentral:rRNA from 1 species
AGAGCCAACCCGCAAGGGAGGUGGACGGCCAAGGUGAAGCCUCUGACUGGGACUAAGUCGYARCAAGGUAUCCGUAGGUGAACCUGCAGAAGGAUCA